UUUCCCUCUGCAGAGUCAGACAUUCAGCUGCAGCAUGGCUCCCCAGUGCUCAGGGCAUCUGUGCCUAGACUCGCUGCACAUCAACUCCACUGGCAGCAGAAGCAGAGCCUGGAAGAUGGAUUUCUAAUUCCUCCUCCAGCCACAGGUAACUUCUGGACAAAGAUAUCUGCUGGAAAUGGAUCCUCAAAUGCAGCCGAAGCACCACAGGUACCGAAGAGGGAGUGGCAACCAUCCCAAUUUCAGCAGGUGUGCUAGGGAAAAGGUAAACACGCAGCAAGAGAAUCUCACUCAAGUCUAUGCAAAAACCUUUUGGAUGAACCACAUUCAUUUUAUCAACUUGGACUUCAUCAGAUCAAGGGAGGUUCUCCUGCCCCUCUACUCUGCCCCAGAAGAUUUUCUACCGCGGAGACAAAUAAAUCCAUCCCCAGGCAAAAGCAGCAGCGUGAAUGAAGACAAAGCC